GCACUGCAGUAACCAGGUAAGGGGGGCCCUGGUGUGGAGGGUGUUCAUAGAAUUUUGAACGUGCUAUUAAUUAUUCCUAUGCUGCGGGGCCACAACUGCUCACGCUGGUCCAGUCAAACAGUACCACACGCUCGACAAGUUGAUGCAACCUCAUGUGGUGUUAUUGUGUGUAAAUUAGCAGACAUGAUUCUUAAUGAAGAGGACAUGGAGGACGUUUUUGACAAGUCUUCCAUUUUAAGGAUGAGGACGCAGAUAGGCAAACGGCUGAUCAAAGAAACAGAUGAUUUGACCAACCUAUGCCGAGCGUGUGGUUCAUAUGACACAGAUGUGCAAUGGAUUGCUUGCACACCUUGUGAUCAAUGGUUCCACAGAAGCUGUGUUGGGCAACCACCUGUGGAGGCACCUUUUUAUUGCCCAUUGUGUAUUUAAACCUGUUUAUUAGUAUUUAUUUUUAACCUGCUCCUUGCUUUUAAGGUAGCUUGAUUGAUAAAAUGUCAGACAUGUUUACCCU